AUUGAACGCUGGCGGCAGGCCUAACACAUGCAAGUCGAGCGGAUGAAGGGAGCUUGCUCCUGGAUUCAGCGGCGGACGGGUGAGUAAUGCCUAGGAAUCUGCCUGGUAGUGGGGGAUAACGUCCGGAAACGGGCGCUAAUACCGCAUACGUCCUGAGGGAGAUAGUGGGGGAUCUUCGGACCUCACGCUAUCAGAUGAGCCUAGGUCGGAUUAGCUAGUUGGUGGGGUAAAGGCCUACCAAGGCGACGAUCCGUAACUGGUCUGAGAGGAUGAUCAGUCACACUGGAACUGAGACACGGUCCAGACUCCUCCGGGAGGCAGCAGUGGGGAAUAUUGGACAAUGGGCGAAAGCCUGAUCCAGCCCUGCCGCGUGUGUGAAGAAGGUCUUCGGAUUUUAAAGCACUUUAAGUUGGGAGGAAGGGCAGUAAGUUAAUACCUUGCUGUUUUGACGUUACCAACAGAAUAAGCACCGGCUAACUUCGUG
rnacentral:rRNA from 1 species